CAACACAGUGGUAGCUGCCCUGGUGGUAAGUCCUUAGUAGCAGCUGUUGCUUCUGUUCUCUGGAAACUUGAAGCCUAGCAUCAGACACCAAGACUAGCUCUGAGCCCAUCGGUCUUGGCUUGUCCUUGAAGUAUGAGGCUGGUGACUGGAGUCACUGUGUUUCUGACCCUGGGGACUAUGAUUGAUGCUCAGACCACCCAGCCAAACUCCAAGGACUGUGCUGAAGGGGAAGAUGUAAAGCUGCCUUGUAACCACUCUACCAUCAGUGGAGCUGACUAUAUACAUUGGUAUCGGCAAAAUCCCAAUCAGAGUCCACAGCACAUCAUUCAUGGCUUACAAAGCAAUGUGACCAAUAGCAUGGCUUCUCUGACCAUAGCUUCAGACAGAAAGUCCAGCACUUUGGUCCUGCCCCGGGUUACACUGAGAGACACCGCUGUGUACUACUGCAUCCUAAGAGACCCACAGUGGGACAGAUGGGGCUGUACCUGUACAGUACCUCUCUGGUGACAAGGAUGGGAGUG